UUAAGUUCAGCGGGUAUCCCUACCUGAUCCGAGGUCAAACUGAUACAAUUAAACGUGUGCGGCAGCCCUGCGGGCGGGCCCUUGUGCGAACAAUCUGCUACGCGCAAGACCCACCGCCGGACGCCGAUGCUUUCCAGGCGAGUCCGCCGCGCAGACGCGGGGACAGACGCCCAACACCAAGCUGUGCUUGAGAGCUGUAA
rnacentral:misc_RNA from 1 species